rnacentral:tRNA from 1 species
GGGCGUUUAGCGCAGUGGUAGCGCGUGCGCUUUGCAUGCGCAAGGCCAUGGGUUCAAUCCCCAUAUCGUCCA